GACGAACGCUGGCGGCGUGCCUAAUACAUGCAAGUAGAACGCACAGUUUAUACCGUAGCUUGCUACACCAUAGACUGUGAGUUGCGAACGGGUGAGUAACGCGUAGGUAACCUGCCUGGUAGCGGGGGAUAACUAUUGGAAACGAUAGCUAAUACCGCAUAAUAUUAAUUAUUGCAUGAUAAUUAAUUGAAAGGUGCAAUUGCACCACUACCAGAUGGACCUGCGUUGUAUUAGCUAGUAGGUGAGGUAACGGCUCACCUAGGCGACGAUACAUAGCCGACCGGGGAGGGUGAUCGGCCACACUGGGACUGAGACACGGCCCAGACUCCUACGGGAGGCAGCAGUAGGGAAUCUUCGGCAAUGGACGAAAGUCUGACCGAGCAACGCCGCGUGAGUGAAGAAGGUUAUCGGAUCGUAAAGCUCUGUUGUAAGAGAAGAACGGGUGUGAGAGUGGAAAGUUCACACUGUGACGGUAUCUUAACAGAAAGGGACGGCUAACUACGUG
rnacentral:rRNA from 1 species